rnacentral:rRNA from 1 species
AUUGAACGCUGGCGGCGUGCCUAACACAUGCAAGUCGAGCGGUAACAGGUGUAGCAAUACAUGCUGACGAGCGGCGGACGGGUGAGUAACGCUUGGGAAUCUGCCUAUUAGUGGGGGACAACCCGGGGAAACUCGGGCUAAUACCGCAUACGCACUACGGUGGAAAGCCGGGGACCGCAAGGCCUGGCGCUAACAGAUGAGCCCAAGUCGGAUUAGCUAGUUGGUAGGGUAACGGCCACCAAGGCGACGAUCCGUAACUGGUCUGAGAGGACGACCAGUCACACCGGAACUGAGACACGGUCCGGACUCCUACGGGAGGCAGCAGUGGGGAAUAUUGGACAAUGGGCGAAAGCCUGAUCCAGCGACGCCGCGUGGGUGAAGAAGCCUGCGGGUUGUAAAGCCCUUUCAGUGGGGAAGAAAAGCCUCGAGCUAACACCUCGGGGUCUUGACGUAACCCAUAGAAGAAGCACCGGCUAACUCUGUGCCAGCAGCCGCUGUAAC